AAUAGAUACCCGGGUAGUCCACGCCGUAAACGAUGCAUACUAGGAAUUUGGAGUAUCGACCCUCUGAUUUUCGAAGCUAACGCGUUAAGUAUGCCGCCUGGGUAGUACGGCCGCAAGGCUAAAACUCAAAGGAAUUGACGGGGACCCGCACAAGCGGUGGAACAUGUGGUUUAAUUCGACGGUAAACGAAGAACCUUACCAGGGCUUGACAUCUCGCGAAUCUCCCAGAAACGGGGGAGUGCCGUAAGGAACGCGAUGACAGGUGCUGCACGGUCGUCGUCAGCUCGUGCUGUGAAGUGUCCCGUUAAGUCGGUGAACGAGCGCAACCCUUUGCAUGUUGUAUUUCUCAUGCGAUACUGCCGGCGUUAAGUCGGAGGAAGGUGGGGAUGACGUCAGAUCAGCGUGGCUCUUACGUCCUGGGCUACACACAUGUUACAAUGGGUAGUAACAAUGGGUCGCUAAACCGCAAGGUGGAGCUAAUCCCAUCAAACCUACCCUCAGUUCGGAUUGGGGCUGCAACUCGCCCUCAUGAAGUUGGAAUCGCUAGUAA
rnacentral:rRNA from 1 species